rnacentral:rRNA from 1 species
GAUGAACGCUGGCGGCGUGCCUAAUACAUGCAAGUCGAGCGAACAGACGAGGAGCUUGCUCCUCUGACGUUAGCGGCGGACGGGUGAGUAACACGUGGAUAACCUACCUAUAAGACUGGGAUAACUUCGGGAAACCGGAGCUAAUACCGGAUAAUAUAUUGAACCGCAUGGUUCAAUAGUGAAAGACGGUUUUGCUGUCACUUAUAGAUGGAUCCGCGCCGCAUUAGCUAGUUGGUAAGGUAACGGCUUACCAAGGCAACGAUGCGUAGCCGACCUGAGAGGGGGAUCGGCCCAACUGAAACGGAACCCCGUCCAAAACCCCAACGGGGGGCAGAAGGGGGGAAUUUUCCCAAAGGGGGGAAACCUUAACGGAACAACCCCGGGUGGGGAAAAAGGGUUUGGGGAUGGUAAACCCCUUUAAUUAGGAAAAAAAAAAUGUAAAAAAAACUAUGCAGGUUUGGGGGGAACCAAAGAAGAAAGCCCCGGCAAACUCCGG